GUGCUUGCUUCAGCAGCACACAUACCAAAAUUGGAAUGAUACAGAGAAGAUUAGUAUACUCCCUGCACGAGGAUGACAUGUGAAUCUGUGAAGUGUUCCCUAUUUUU